GGGACACUGGCGGAUUGAACUCGGCGGCUUUCAUUGCCUCUCCCCUCCCCCCAGCUCGUGUCUGACACCGGAAAUAGCUUGUGUCUGAAGAUGCCUAUGCUUAGCGCUUCCCUUUGGUUUCUUCAGAGUUCGUAAUGAAAAACUGCUAGAUUAGCUGAUGGAUGGGUAAUAAUUCAAGUCAAUGUGUGAGCAUGACUUGGUGUUAGAGGACUCCACAAAGAAAACAUAAUCAAGUCAAAAGGAUGAAAUCAAAGUGUGGAUGAAGGUGACCUGUGCCAUGGUGCAUGUGUGAAGGCCAGAGGACAACGUAUGAGAGUUGAUUCUUUCUACCGUGUGGAAGAGAUUGGCCUCAAAUCAGCAGGCUUGGCAGCUUGUGCUUUUAAUAACUGAGUCAUCUUAUGGGCCCUAUCCAGUAUUUUGUUUUUUGAGACAAGGCCUCAUGAUAUAAUCCAGUCUGGCUUUAAAUACAUGAUUUUCCUGCCUUAUCUUCUUAGGUGCUAGAAGACUAUACCUGAAUAACAUGUAUUUUUUAAAUUUUAUUCUUAUUUUUGUUACAUUUAGUAUUUUUGCCAACAUUCUGUUUGUGAAGUAAAUCCAGAUGGUUAUACAUAAUUUUAUUAUAUAUUUUUAUUAGCAUGUAGUAUUCCUUUGUAUAAAUAUGCCUCAUAUGUUUCUCCAUCUUCUUAAAAAUGAACAUUUGGGGUUCUUGUGAAUAAUCUCUUGGUGUGCAUACACAUUCAUUUCUGUUUUGAAUAGACCUAGAAGUACAAUUUCUGACUCACAUAUCCUCAUUAGUACAUAAUCUUGGACAUCCUUUUUACUUGGAAUGUUCUGUUGUAUGAUGAUAUCUCCACACUUCAAAUUUUUCUUUUUAAAUUUGAACUGUAUGAAAUUGAGCACUUUUACAUAUGUAUCCAUAAUUGAUAUAUUCUUUUCUGAAAUCCUUAUUUACAACUCUUGUUCACUUUUAUGUUCUUUUUGUUGUUGUUGUUGUUGUUCUUUCUUUUUUUGAGACAGGUUCUCUCUCUAUACUGCUGAGAUUAAAGGCAUCAGUCACCAUGCCAGGCCCCAAGGGUUAAUUUGUAGUAUAGAAUGAUGUGCCUUUAUUCAUUUACAUGGGAAAUCUAUUUUAUUCUAUUAAUUCAAGGUUCUUUCUUGAUCAUCAAAAUUCUCCAUGUUUAUCUCAGUCAGAGGUAUUUAUUUUCCUCAAAUUUAUUGUACAUUAUUUUAUCUAGGUGAUCUUCCUUUGUGUUAAAUUGUAUUAAAUACAGACAUUUCCAACUACUAUGUAUAAUAUCUUUAAGGAAGGUAUUUCAGUAAAGAUCAGUGUGGGAGGGACUUCAAGUAAUAUUUUGUAGCUACUACUACUGAAUAUGUUUAAUGAAAAGCUUCCUCCUAAAACCCUUGCAUAUAUUAAAAUUCAAACUCAUUAUCAUCAAUAUCCUUGCCAACAUUUGAGCAAUGAUACCGGACACUAGGAAUUAUAACAAGGAUUAUGUGACACUGAAAUCAUUUGUAUGCACUUUGCAGUUGAUGUAUAUUGGGCCCUUUAGAUAGUGGCAGUCAUGACACAGUAGCUCUUUGUGGUUUAAAAUGCCAAGGAAAAUGAAUGAGCUGUUACAUUGACUUAAAUGAAGACAUUUUUAGGACUGAAAUUCUGCAACCGUGUAUAUUUUUAGAUAAAGAACUUUAAAAAUGGUUCCUUGACUUCAGGUGCCAAUAUCUGUCUAUGUGGUCUGCCAGACCCUCAACUGCAACAUGUUCCAGAUGAUACUCACUGCCUUUUUCUGCCCUUCUCAUCCAUGCACCCGAUGGCCUAUUCCUCUUGUUUAAGUCUACUGCCAUCUUCCCAGUCAUCAUGAUUAGCAAUCUCCUUACUUUCGUAUUUCCCAUUGGAGCAAUCACCAAAUCCUCUCCAAUCUACCCCCACAAUACUCAAUCUGUCCUCUCCUCCUCAUUUCCCUCAUUGCUACCCUUUCCUGGUCCCUCAUUAUCUUUUAACUAAACUGUUUCCCCAGCUUACUAACAGAUUUCUUUCUUUUUCUUUAGUAUCCUUUUCCCAACUCAUCCUUCUCACUGUUACCAGUUAGUGACCUAACACAAAGUUAAAUCAUAGUUAUUCUCUUCAGAUGACCUUUUAUUUUUCAUUUUUUGCAAAAUAAACUCCAAUAUCCUGAAGUAGCAGGUUAAAAGCACAGACCUGUGAAUAAAGCAGAUCUGGGUCUGAAUGUCUGCUGGACUACUUCCUCCUUGUUAGACAUAAAGCUAACCUCUCUGAACUUUGUUUCACUCUCCAUGAAAUAUCUACCCCAUAAAUCUCACAUGAGCAUGCUGUAUGUUUAUUACAGCAUAAGAGCUAGUAAGUGUUAAUCUUAUUAAUACAACUAUCAGACUGCCAUAAUCGUAACUUGUCCUAUCUUUACAGCCUUGCCUGCCACUACAUUCCUUUUAGUGCAUUGCAAAGCAUUCUUGUAGGUGCACCUUUCAGGUUCAUUAACCUGGAAUGCCCCUUCCCUUCUCACAUUGGAUUCUAUCCUUCCAGAUUCAGUUCAACUACUUUUUAUGUCAUAUUUUCUGUAAUCUGUGUCCCUGGCUCUCGGUCAGAAUGGUAUUCUUCUCUCUCACCAACUCAAUUUCUUUAUUCUUCUAUUUGGUAUAUCUCUUAUUCUGCUUUUCAUUAUUUGUUUACAUUUCUAUGCCCUUUGCUGAAGUUUGAAUUCUUUAAGGACAAUGAUUCAUUACUGUGACAUUUCAUUUUCGCACCAGUUACAGUGCUUUUUAAAUGUUACGGUACCUUACUAUUCAAAUGUUCUGAGUGAAUGAAUGAAAGAACACAUAAUGUCCAUUAAAGGGAAAUGGCAUGUUUUGUAUUUGCAUACUUUCUUUUAAGUUGUAUGAGGUCCCUUACAAUUAUCAUAAAGUUUAGAAAUCUACAUUUCAACAUCAUUUAGCCAGCCUUCAAGAGGAGCAUGAAACAUAAUUGCUAGAUAUACAAGUCACAAAAAGUCUGGUACAGAAGAGCAACGUGAUUUUAAGAAUUACAAGGCAAGUUCUGUGGCCAUAGUCACAAAUAAGGUAAUGGUAGGAGAGGAAAUGGUAAUAUAAAGAAGGGAAUUGAAAAAAAAGUCUAACCAAUCAAAUGAAUUUCAACAAUUGUACACUAUGAGUACAAAGGAUAAAGAUAAGGAACUCAUUCUGGACAAGGGGUUUAUAAGGAUAACAUUGUAAUCAGCUAUCACAUUUUCCCAAAGGCUGUCUUGACUUUGGUAUUGUAUAGUCUUACAACAUUUCUAGUUUUGUUCAAAUCAUGUUAGAGCUCCUCUGGAUUUCUGGGGGAAGUAGUUCACACCUGCAAUAACACCAGAGAGGUUGAGGCAGAAGGAUUGCUACAACUUCUAGGAUAGCCUUGGCCACAUGGUGAGUUCCAGACUACACUAUAUACAGGAGACUCUUUCUGAAAACAAACAACACAGGAACCUCAUUUGCUUUGA